AACUAUACGGUGAAACUGCGAAUGGCUCAUUAAAUCAGUUAUCGUUUAUUUGAUAGUACCUUACUACAUGGAUAACCGUGGUAAUUCUAGAGCUAAUACAUGCUAAAAACCCCGACUUCGGAAGGGGUGUAUUUAUUAGAUAAAAAACCAAUGCCCUUCGGGGCUCUCUGGUGAUUCAUAAUAACUUAACGAAUCGCAUGGCCUUGCGCCGGCGAUGGUUCAUUCAAAUUUCUGCCCUAUCAACUUUCGAUUGUAGGAUAGAGGCCUACAAUGGUAUCAACGGGUAACGGGGAAUUAGGGUUCGAUUCCGGAGAGGGAGCCUGAGAAACGGCUACCACAUCCAAGGAAGGCAGCAGGCGCGCAAAUUACCCAAUCCCGACACGGGGAGGUAGUGACAAUAAAUACUGAUACAGGGCUCUUUUGGGUCUUGUAAUUGGAAUGAGUACAAUCUAAAUCCCUUAACGAGGAACAAUUGGAGGGCAAGUCUGGUGCCAGCAGCCGCGGUAAUUCCAGCUCCAAUAGCGUAUAUUAAAGUUGUUGCAGUUAAAAAGCUCGUAGUUGAACCUUGGGCCUGGCUGGCCGGUCCGCCUCACCGCGUGCACUGGUUCGGCCGGGCCUUUCCUUCUGGGGAACCGCAUGCCCUUCACUGGGCGUGUUGGGGAACCAGGACUUUUACUUUGAAAAAAUUAGAGUGUUCAAAGCAGGCCUUCGCUCGAAUACAUUAGCAUGGAAUAAUAGAAUAGGACGUGCGGUUCUAUUUUGUUGGUUUCUAGGACCGCCGUAAUGAUUAAUAGGGAUAGUCGGGGCCAUCCGUAUUCAAUUGUCAGAGGUGAAAUUCUUGGAUUUAUUGAAGACGAACUACUGCGAAAGCAUUUGGCAAGGAUGUUUUCAUUAAUCAGUGAACGAAAGUUAGGGGAUCGAAGACGAUCAGAUACCGUCGUAGUCUUAACCAUAAACUAUGCCGACUAGGGAUCGGACGGUGUUAUUAUUUUGACCCGUUCGGCACCUUACGAGAAAUCAAAGUCUUUGGGUUCUGGG
rnacentral:rRNA from 1 species